rnacentral:rRNA from 1 species
ACUGCUAUCAUAUUCAGUAAGACCUGCUCUAUGAUCUUAAAUGGCCGCGGGUUACCGUGCUAAGGUAGCAUAAUCAUUAGCCUUUUAAUUGGAGGCUGGAAUGAACGGUUUCACAUGUUAAUAUUUUUAUUUAAAUGCCUUCUUAAACUUUUCCUGCUUGUAAAAAGACAAGCAUACCUAAGGGGGACGACAAGACCCUGACGAACUUUACUCUAUAGUUGAGCUGGGGCGGCUUUAAACCACAUCUUUUGAUAAAUCCACAAAUCAAACCCCCACUGGACUAAACAAUGUUACCGCAGGGAUAACAGCAUAAUUUUUUCCUAAAGACCAUAUUCAAGAAAAAGAUUGUGACCUCGAUGUUGAAUUAAUAUUCUGUUAG